AGCAGUGUAGCCUAGUGGAAAGAGCCUUAGUCUGGGAGUCAGAGGACCUGGGUUCUAAUCCCAGCUCUGCCA
rnacentral:tRNA from 1 species